rnacentral:rRNA from 1 species
AUUGAACGCUGGUGGCAGGCCUAACACAUGCAAGUCGAGCGGUAGCACGGGAGAGCUUGCUCUCUGGGUGACGAGCGGCGGACGGGUGAGUAAUGUCUGGGAAACUGCCUGAUGGAGGGGGAUAACUACUGGAAACGGUAGCUAAUACCGCAUGAUGUCGCAAGACCAAAGUGGGGGACCUUCGGGCCUCACGCCAUCGGAUGUGCCCAGAUGGGAUUAGCUAGUAGGUGGGGUAAUGGCUCACCUAGGCGACGAUCCCUAGCUGGUCUGAGAGGAUGACCAGCCACACUGGAACUGAGACACGGUCCAGACUCCUACGGGAGGCAGCAGUGGGGAAUAUUGCACAAUGGGCGCAAGCCUGAUGCAGCCAUGCCGCGUGUGUGAAGAAGGCCUUAGGGUCGUAAAGCACUUUCAGCGAGGAGGAAGGCGUUGUAGUUAAUAGCUGCAACGAUUGGCGUUACUCGCAGAAGAAGCACCGGCUAACUCCGUGCCAGCAGCCGCGGUAAUACGGAGAGUGCAAGCGUUAAUCGGAAUUACUGGGCGUAAAGCGCACGCAGGCGGUUUGUUAAGUCAGAUGUGAAAUCCCCGAGCUUAACUUGGGAACUGCAUUUGAAACUGGCAAGCUAGAGUCUUGUAGAGGGGGGUAGAAUUCCAGGUGUAGCGGUGAAAUGCGUAGAGAUCUGGAGGAAUACCGGUGGCGAAGGCGGCCCCCUGGACAAAGACUGACGCUCAGGUGCGAAAGCGUGGGGAGCAAACAGGAUUAGAUACCCUGGUAGUCCACGCUGUAAACGAUGUCGACUUGGAGGUUGUGCCCUUGAGGCGUGGCUUCCGGAGCUAACGCGUUAAGUCGACCGCCUGGGGAGUACGGCCGCAAGGUUAAAACUCAAAUGAAUUGACGGGGGCCCGCACAAGCGGUGGAGCAUGUGGUUUAAUUCGAUGCAACGCGAAGAACCUUACCUACUCUUGACAUCCAGAGAAUUCGCUAGAGAUAGCUUAGUGCCUUCGGGAACUCUGAGACAGGUGCUGCAUGGCUGUCGUCAGCUCGUGUUGUGAAAUGUUGGGUUAAGUCCCGCAACGAGCGCAACCCUUAUCCUUUGUUGCCAGCACGUAAUGGUGGGAACUCAAGGGAGACUGCCGGUGAUAAACCGGAGGAAGGUGGGGAUGACGUCAAGUCAUCAUGGCCCUUACGAGUAGGGCUACACACGUGCUACAAUGGCGCAUACAAAGAGAAGCGAACUCGCGAGAGCAAGCGGACCUCAUAAAGUGCGUCGUAGUCCGGAUUGGAGUCUGCAACUCGACUCCAUGAAGUCGGAAUCGCUAGUAAUCGUAGAUCAGAAUGCUACGGUGAAUACGUUCCCGGGCCU